AGGUAGAAUGGUCCGCCGGUGGACCGCCGACGUCCUGUGACGUGUGUGUGUACCUGGACAGCGCGGAUGGCUAUUCGGCUAAAACCGACUCCUGUACGGAACCACAUCACUACGUCUGUCAGUCUGAGUCCAAGCCGUGCCAGCAAAACAAUUGCACCAACAACGGUGUCUGCACGGCCUGCUUCAACGACUCCUACAGCUUCUGCCCCUGCCCUGACGGAUACGAGGGAGACUCUUGCAAUAUAGAUAUUGACGAGUGCUCCUCGAGUCCUUGUCAGAACGGCGGAGUCUGCCUGAAUGGUGUGAACUCCUACCAUUGUUACUGUCCAUUUGGUUAUACAGGGGACAGCUGCCAAACAG